GGGGAGCACCCGGAUUAGAUAGCCAUGGUAGUAUCAAGCCGUGAAAUGCUGUGGCGCGUAGGGUUGGAUCUUCAUUUCUCUCACGAUCACGUGUAGCAGAUCAAUGCAUUAAGUGCUCUCGCCUCGCGCGCAGUACGGCCCGCAAGGUCUAUAAACUCAAAAGGAAUAGAAUGCGGGGCCCCGCACAAGCUGCUGGAGCAUGCUGAUUAAUUUGAUGCCAACGUGAAGAACCUUACAAGGCCUGACCUGCACCCGGAUAGCCUUAGAGAUGGGGUUUCCUUCUGGCCAGGGGCACAGAGGUGCAUGGUUGUGGUCAGAUAUGUCGUGAGAUGUUGGGUUAAGUCCCCGCAACGAGAGCAACCCUCGUUAUAUGUGGCCAGCACAUGAUGGUGGGGACUCAUAGGAGACUGCCGGGGUCAACUCGGAGGAAGGUGGGGAUGACGUCAAAUCAUCAUGCCCUUAUGUCUUGGGCUUCAAGCAUGCUACAAUGGCCGGUACAGAGGGUGUUGUGCCAUCAGGUCGAGCGAGUCCCCUCAACCGGUGUCAGUUCGGAUUGAGUUGUGCAACUAGGUCCCAAGAAGGCGG
rnacentral:rRNA from 1 species